GCACCGCGCGGACGACCGCGAUGCGGGCGGUGCGGGGCGGCAGCAGGCGGGGCGCCGGGAACCGCCACCUGUCACCGCCUGCGGGGCGGCGGCGGCCGCUCGUUGCGGCGGACGGGGCUCUGCUCUGCAACCCGAUUCUUUUUCGGGCAUCGCCGCCGGAGUCGGCGGGACGGGAGAAGAGGAGCUGCAACAAACGCGGAGAGCGGAGUCGGACGGCACCGGGUCGAGGGGGAGAACGAGGAGGAAAAGCGGGACCGCGCAUCGCGGCACAGGGAGCCCUCCGCUGUCCGGGCUCCUCUCCCUGCUCGCUCCCCGCUGCCAGGAGAACCUGGCACACGUCCGCCUACAGACACGGCCGUACCUCGCCGUGAGCGGAAGGCUCGUCCUCUUCGCCCCGACGCUCGCCGCCCGGCUCUGAGCUUGCCGUAGCUCGGAGCUCCGCCGGGGGCUCCCCGCGCUCCCGCGAUGUUUGCCGGGCACGGCGAAGCGCCAACCGUACCGUGGGGCGCAUCAGGCCCGGCACUGCCCAGGAAAGGACUGUCCCGCUCUGCUCUGCCGCGCCGCUGCAGCCCGUGAGAUGUCCGACGCCGCUUCCUGAAGCGGCCGCGUUGUCCUUGGGAUCUGUGCCCAGCGCUGCCCACAGCCUGCCCUGCUGCGCUGUGAGAAGGCAAGUCCCAGCCUGGGCUCAGAUGGCUGCAGGCCCUCGUUGCUCUCGGUUCCCGAGGCUUCCAAGGUAACGCUUUGGCACCCCCCCGCUUCGCCAGGUGCCGCUCCCUGCAUCCCCUUGUCUUGCUGAUGCACUGCUGCUCUGGCAGUCCCUGUGCCUUCCCUGAGUGGCGCCUUGUGGAACACAGAAAUGACACGCGGGUUUGGUCCACACUUCUGAAAACAUGUCCAAAACCCCUUUGUAGGGGUCCGAGGUGGCUCUGUCCUGUCAGAGCUGGGAGGAUCUGUCUGGAGAGACAGCAACACCUUCUGCAGCUGGAAGAAGCUGCCAAGCUGCCAGAGUCCACCUUUUCCUCCAGAACAGAUCUGUUUGUCUCAGCUGUAGCUGCUGAAAUGCACAGUGCAGAGCAAUGUGGGUACAUGCACAUGUGUGGAGACAGGGACUUUCUGACAUUAAUGAGUAAAUAAUUGGCGCUGCUUUCACAGGAGAGGUGAUUGAAGCCUGACAAAGUUAGAUAAUGUGGAGAAAGUAAAUGAUAAAAAGAUCUUUGUUUAAUGGUGAAAACGACAUGCUUAAAAUUUGCCUGUUAAUUUAAUUUCACUGCAAAUUCCCUGUGAAACGUUAGGUCUCAAGGGGCCAUUCAUCUCAUUUGUCAAAUCUUCACUGGUUUCAUUGAAAGUAAUUUAAACUUGUGGAGAAUUUAAGUCAAAUUUGUAAGCAUGCAUUAUCUCCCCACAGCUUUACUCUGUCUUGACCCUGCUGGCUAACCCUGGCUGCUGCUCAUCAACUACUGAGCAGCUGUCAAUGUCACUGCAUUCACUGCACAUCCCCAUGAAAGAUAAUAAAGGCUGGGCUUCCCAGGCAGGCCAAGCAAACACGAGGAGCUGAAGGAAAAAAAUCUGAAGUUAACUGAUGCUGUUCCUUUGUGAUUGUGUCAUCCAGUCAGACUGGGACGUGUGGUACCAGCCCAGUUAGGAGUUCUCUGAUGCUGCUGCCUUUGGAGCUUGUAAGAAAAAGCAUAGGGUAGAGAAUUGAAUCAUACAAGCAUACCUAGUUUUUACAAGUACUGAAAAAUAUUCAACAGCCCCAGUUUGAGAGGGGUUCAGAAUGAGAGGCACAAUGAUGAUGGAGUUGAGAAGACCUGCAGGUGCCUCAACAGCACUCUUGUGAGAAGCCUUUGUAAGGCUGCCUCUGUCCUGCUCUCCUUAAUGCAUUGGAAGUCAAUGCACGUGUAAGAAGGUAUUGUUACUUAACACUAUUUCUAAACACUUGGCUGACAAUCACUCAGGUGUAGGUGGAGGCCUCAUUUUAAUUUUAAAGAGCGCUGUGCACAUGUUCUCUGCACACAGGUGAAUCAUAGAACUCAUUUCAGGAAGGCAGAGGCCUAAGAAAGGUCACCCAUGGUCUUUGGCAUUUCUGAAUAUAAAUCACAGUUUGUGUGGAUUUAUCCCUUUAGAGGUAAGUUUUACUGGAAUGGUUAGAAUCCACACCACGAGUUUGAUGGUCACGCAUCAGCUCAAAUGUGUUCUGUACAAUUAAUGUCAGCUGAAGUUAAUUUAUUACAUGCAUUAUUCCAAAUGAACUGUGGUGUUCCUUUUUGUCUGGCUUCACCAGUAGGAGUGUGAGGAGCAUUGGUCAGCCUGGUGCGUGGCAGUAUUGAGGAGAACUGCCAUCCCCACUUAGUGUCUGUGGAGUGGAAAUCCAUUUUAGCAGACCUGGAGAAGAAGCUAGCAGUAGUGCUGUGACAAUUUCAAUUAAAGCCUCAAGCAUAACCGUAUGGGAAUCCUGAACACUGAAUGGGUGCGGUCUGAGAGCUGCUGAUUUGAAGCAUUAAUACACAGCAAAAUCACAGGACAUGGAGUCUUAGCCUUCUGAACUGGUUCUCUGGUCUCCACUCUUCCCAUCUGCAUUUCCUGAAGAUUUUGGAACUGCUGGAACCGCAUUUAUUUUGGGGGAAAAGUAGCUGCAUUGGGCAAAACGGGAAGUCAGUACUCAACAGCGUGUUGUCACAUCUCAUCUUGGCAGCGGCUAUGAUAUAAUGAAAGAUAAGGUUCUCCAUCUCACUGGGAUCCCAGGUACCCCUUCUGCUUUAUGAAGAGAGGUGGCCCAAGGCAAUUAAGGUGCUUGUGUCGUUCCUCUGCAGUUGUAUACAGCCUGAACUGAAAGCUGUGCUGCUGUCUGCAUGCAAUGGGAAGCUGCAUAGAAAAGCAUUGUCUCCAAGGAUGCCUUCUGUACCUUCAUGCCAGACCAUCGUUUAUGGUGGACAUCUGGCAGACGUGAUACAGUGCAACCUGCCUUUGGUGUCCCGUCAGGUCGGACAGGCUCUUGUUCUCAGGAGCAGUUUCCCUGCCAAAUGCCAUCAUAUCACAUCUAAGCUGCUUUUUGUGUGUGAUACUGUACUCUGGGAGCACUGAGAGGCUCUCUACCCAAUCCAAGCCUAAACAUGGCACUGCCUCUGUGUGGGUAAAGGCACACACUGGAGGCUGUCAGCUGCUCUGUUCUGCUUUACUCUGUGUCUUCUGCUGCGUAGGGUGCAUCUGUGCACAGCAAAGUGGGCAUGCCUUCUUGUUAAGAAGUCUAUAUGGAACUUGUGCAGCUGCUAUUGCAAAGCGUAACUGGAACUUCUGGAUAUCACCGUUGCCUGAUGCUGCAAAUCUAAGGCCACGAGUUUCAAUGAAGUUACCGAUAAAUAACUGCCACAGACCUGUGAGAUGAAGAGUGCACAGGCCACCUGCUGCUGCUUUCUGAGGUGAAGACAGAGACUCAGCAUCUAACCCAAGCUGCAGGGCUGCUUGCUGGGUGACACAGAUGCGUUCUCAGUGCCUUGCCAGCACUGCAGGAAUCAGGUGCUUGCGGGGUACAGGGUGAUUUUGUUGUGCCAUUGUGUUGAUGCCAAGUUUCCUCUGGCUUUAAAUGUCUGGCUGACAUUCAUUCUUACAAACACUUUUCUGAUAGGGAAACAAGGUUACGUAGUCGUACUAGAAAUAAAUAAGUAAAAAGUAAAACCUGUAGAAAAUGUCUGAAUAGUCUUUGAAGGAAGAGCACUUUCCUGUAUUCCUUAGGAAGCCUCCUGUAACAAGCAUGGAGAAGGCGAGGAACCAAAAAGAGGAAAGCGUGGAUGAAUUCUGAGUCCCAGCAGAGCAGAAGUUACAGCUGCAGUUCAGAGCAGUGUCAAAUAUUGUGAUGUAAGCUGCUGGGUAAAAGACCCCAGGAAAACAGCAGUGGAUGUCCUUUAGCAGAUGGGAGCAUUCAGGAAGCUGUCCUGUGCAGCACAGAGUGCUUUGCUGAUGGCUGUGAGAUGUGCAACCAUGGGCACACGCCAGGCUCAUCUCCCAGUGUCACGGAACCAGAGCAGAGGAAGUCUCAGCCAUCACUACACUGACUCCAAACCUUAGGAGGUUACUUUUGCUCCCUUGCCACCCCCGCAUAGCAACUGAAGGAUGUUCUUAGGAUGCCUGAAUAAAUGACAGACUUGUUUGCAGCUUGUCCAGAAACUGCCCUCACAUCCUUGCUGUGUAGCAUGAACACAUUCUUAGUGCUGCUCUCUGUUCUCCACAACUAACCUUGGUGAUCUCUAACAACUGCCUAAAGUUUGCACCAAGAGUCUCUUAAAUGCUGUCUUUAAUGGAAAUAAAAAUUUCUUCUUUUGCAAGCCAGGCACCCAUCUGUGAGGAUAUGGCUUAGGCUGGGAAGCUACUUCGUCUGUCAUGCUUCUCUGCUCUACCUGCUGACGUUCGCAGAAAAAAAUUGAAGGAAUAGCAUCUGCACAAAGCUUUGAAUUUGCCUGCCUGGAAAACUCCUUCUUGUCAUCUAUUAAAUGAGUAGCAAUGUUUCUACGUCUUUGGCAGACCCAGAAAUGUUAAUUCAGACCACAGUACAGCUGUGAGGCUCUGCAUUAGCAGCUUCUCUCAGCAAUGGAUUUGCAGUCGGACUGUAAAACUGUGUCCAGAAUGGCUCUCAUCCGAAGGAAGGAGCAAACAGCUGACUUACAGCACUUCCAAACCAAAUAAAUAAAUAAAUACAAAUAAAUAAAUGAAAAAAAAGAAAGGUAAUCUAGUCAGUCUCACUGCUUCUGUGGUGCAGAUUUGUAUCUCCCUGGUAAGCAGCAAUAUAGCUGGUCAAACUGUAAUCAGAGCUGAAAUGCAGUGUUUUGUUCAGAUAAAUGAAAUGCUUUGGAAAAGAAAGAUUUGCCAAACUCUCUUGUGCAGAUACUCUUUUUCAAAACUGAGUUUUAGUUAAUUAGCACUUAUUCCAGACAGCCAAGUUUUCUUCCUAGGUGAGAUUCUCAGCAAGAGCUACUAGCCUGGGAGGAGCACAGACUGAGGAUUAUGUUAUCUGAUACAGAAUGUUUCAUCUCCUAAAGCUGUUUCAAAUUACCAUUUUCCAUAUAAACAACAUGUCAGCUGUUGCUUUGCCUUUAUGACUAACCUGUGUGAUCAUGUCUCUUUGUCCUGUGGCAUAGAAACAAUUCUGUUGGCCACUGGGUAGAUGCACUGUAUGUCAGUGACGAGCAACACUGGUGACAAAGAAGAAGCUAAGUGGCACAGCAAAUAAUAAAACUGGACCCUCCUCAUGCCUGCUAGUCUCAAUGAAGCAGCCCCCAGCUUUUUUCCUUGCCAGUAGAUUUUUUUUUAAUCUAAUGGCUUAGUAAACACUACAACAAAUAAAAGAAGAAAAGUUAAAUUGUAGUCCAUAAAUACAAUAUUUGGAUAUGCUUAAUAAUGCUGAAAUGCUUGUCACAUUCCUCUGAUCUCACUUUGUGCUUGUUGCCCCUAACUCAGAGUGCUGAGGAGCUGUUUGGAACCAGGGCUGUGACAGCACAAGGGGAGCAGGCAGCUCUGGCCUCAAAGCCUGGGCCUUGGAAGAAAGGGAGGUGUUGGGGGUUUUGUAGUUAAAUACAAUGUGAGUAACACAACAGUUGCCUUCAUCGUUUUCUUGAUGAAAUGAGUCCUGCUGAGCUGCCUCCAGGCAGCAGAUGGUGAGGAUCCCACUUGUGUGUUGGCUGGGUCUGCAGCUGGUUGGGAGGCACUUUGCUGUUGUGCCAUGGGAUCCAUUGCAGGAGUUCUCAGCCGUGAAGAAAGGUACCAAAUUUGAAGGGCUUGCUAAUGGUUUCCGUUAAUCCUGGAGCAGGAGGUGGAUCCUGUUGCAGCAAAGGGCUCCAGCUCUGAUCAGAAAAGCUCCCAAAGUGUCUACUUGGACAUUUGCUGAUUUUGAGCUGCAAAUUCAAAUGGCCUUUUCAAGACUGAUAACCUUCUACUUUCCUUUUAUUUUUGGCUGUUAGCAAAGAGUCUUUCUUCAUAGACAUACUUCAAAACAAGAAAGGAAUAUGCUGGUAUUUCCUAUGUGUACUCAAGACAGACUUCCAGCUCAUGGUCCCUCUGCAUUUCUCAGUGACUGAUCUGCCAAAGUAGCCCAUGUUAUUCAGUCAGCUGAGAUAAAGCCAAGGGGAGAAAUAAAAACAGGAGAUUUCAGACUCCCUGCUUCGGUCUACUAAAUGUUUAAGUCAUUUGAACCACAAAAAAGUGAAUGCUGAUUUCGUGUUGUAUUUCAUAUACUUGAUUUCCACUAUCCAAGACCAGUGACAGAAUUUCCAAGCAAAAACUCUGGCUGCCCACCAAGCGGGCUUUGCUUGACAGUCAGCUUGUCUGAGACGUGCUUGUUGUUUGGGAUUUGCAGUUCCCUGAACUGUACAUCAGCUGUGGUGCUGGCAAGCCUGGGAUGCUGACUGGUGACUGAUAAAGCAGUGAAGGUAACAGCCAAGGCAGGUGGCAGAAUUUUAGGGUGGGAAAGCAUUUAUGAUUUAAAAUGACAAAAUGCAUAAAGUACCUAUGGCUCUGUAUAAAUGCUGAAAGAAUAAAUAACAUAAAUCAGAGCAUCUGGCACUCAGGACUUUUUGUGCAGCCUUAGCCAGCAGUUUGUAGGAAAUUGAAACACGAUAAUUACCAUCUCUCAAUGGUUGUUAGCAGCGAUCAUUGUGAAAUACGUGUAAACACUGAACUGGAAUCUCUGGAAACAGCAGCAUAUGCAAAAUUGGCAGAAAAUCACCAUGCUCUGGGGAUUGGAGUAACUGGAAGGAGACUGGAAGGACUCAUGGAUCUUAGGACAAGAAGUGGCUGAUGCAGGGCUGCUGGCUACCCGUGCCAGUUGCUGACAGUGCUGCUGGAGACGUAACAGCCCACGGAGCCGUCUUGUUUCUUGCACUCUGGGGGCUCUGGUGGGGCUGAGUGAUGCAAUGCUGUUCCCAAAUUGCUUGUUGCUGUCCCUUCCUCAUCCCUCAGGAAGGCUAGUUGUCAGGAGGCUCUGCAGGGUGCUUUGAGGCCCUGGUGAUCAUAUUAAUAACUCCUAUUUUUCAUAAGCACUAACGAGUUAGUCACAGAGGGCUUUGUAUGGGAACUGUUGAGUCCCAGCCUGAACCACUGAUUGAGCACCUGGGGGCAGGACCUGGUCAGCCCUGAGAGCACAGGUGAAGGCAGUUCAGCUGUGAGACAGGAAGGGUUGGAGCCUGGCUGCACCUCUCUUAGACCUCAUUGAAGGGCUGACCCCUAGCAGGGAAGGGUUUCUGGUUGGAGAUCCCUUCUCGGUGAUGUUUUCCCCUGCAAAACUGGAAUCUUCUGAUAUAGGUCUGAGCCAGCUUCAAAUUGCACCAAACUGUUGCCAAGUGUGAGCAAGCUGCCAUCCAAGUAGAGAAGGUUUGGCAGACUUGAGCAGGGGGCUUUGUUUGCUUCAGGGCUCUUCAAGCUGAGGGAGUUUGCCUCUUGGUCACCACUCUGCCAAAGCCACACCGCGCUCCAUGGCAGCAGUGUGCCAGCUGGCCCCAGCUGCAUGUACUGAAGAGAUGCUUCUGCUUUUUGCAUUUCUUUGCUUGUGUUUUUCACCUGCAUGUACAGAGGUAGCUGUUUAAUGUUUUUUUUUUUUUUCAUGGGGAGCUCAGAGUAAGCUGUGGGUUAAUCCUGUGUGUGCAUGCAGUGCAGCCUCUGCCAGCCACUGGAGGACCCAUGAUUUAACACUGUGCUGAGUCUUUGUCAAGAUAACAGCUACAGAGUUUUGCUCUUUUUGAGUCAAAUUCUGCCACCAUCCAUUGAUGGUGAAACUGAGUUCCUUGUCCUGGUCUCUUGUGACAUGAAGCCAGAGGAAAUGAGAAACAUAUGCCAUUGGCCCAUGGGGCAGUAUGAGAAGCUCCUGUGUAACGGGGGAUGCAGCUGGUGUGCAGUCUCACACCCUGUCUCUGCUGAUACAAAGUCAUUUUUGCUUUGCCUUUUCCUUCUAGAGAUGUGGAUGGAGUAGGAAGCUCAUCAAGGCUGAUAGGGCAUGAAGCUGCUCUGCUUUGGGGAAUGAAAGCAGGAGCUCUCCAGAUGUAUUCCUGAGCUCCUGCAGGGGGAAGGCAGUUCGUGUGUUACCUCAGUCCAGUGUGUUACCAGCGCAAGCUCUGCAUGCAGUAACACUGGAAAGCAGGGGAGACUGGCUUCUCUCAUCUCCUGCAUGCAUAAAUCUGGAUAUCUGCUGCAUGCUGGCUAAUCUCAACAAGAUUUCAGAGCUGUACGGAGGUUUGUCUGCUCGCAGAGUCAGAGCCAAGUGAGGAUUAGAUGGAUGGUCUGCCGAGGGCUUCUUCCAUGAGACUGCCUUCCACCAAUGCUACAUCCUAACACCUGCUGAGAACAGAUCUUGUGCCAGACUGUGAAAUGCUCACUUGUACCGCUCCUGCUUGCUCCACCCAUCCAGCAGCCUGGAAUGAGAGUUUCCAAGUAAAGCAUCACAAAGCCUGCACCUGGGAUACGAAGCUCUACAAAAUGCACAUCCCUUGUGCUGCGGUUUGCACCCUUCAUUGGAGAUCUUGCUGUGACAUUUGAUUGGGCCUUAAGUACUGAGAUGCCAGAACUCUUCCAGCCCACCCUGUAUAUAAUUAUGCUGUGUUAUGCUUCUGACCGCUGGGCUCUGUGGGGUGCCCAAGGAUCCUUUUCCAUGGCAAUUUUAUAUUUCUGUAAUGUCACCACCUAUGAAAUGUUUCUUUUAUGUGAUGCACGGGGCUGAUGUUUGGAGAGAAGUAUACAGAAGUAGCUGCUGGGCAGUUGCAGUUUUAGUUCCUUCAUAAAAGAAUGCUUUUUUUUUUUUUUAAAUGCUUGUUCUAAAGUGGAUCUGAUCUUGUAAGAUAAGGAAGAGGCUUGCUUCUGAAGCAGAAAGGGAAACAAACAGGUAGGUAAGAAGUUAAUGAAGAAGCACACACAAACUUGCACGACUCCAGCAAGCACAUAAUGAGAGCAUUAUGCUGACAUCAUAAAAACACUGACAAAAGGCAUGGUUUGGUCUUAGAGGAAACACAAGUCAGCUAAGUGCUGAGAUGGGCCUCAAGCAAUGUGGGGCUGUUUGGAAAUCCAAAUCUGCGGCUCUUCUGAUUGUGAGGAAAUGCCUCUUCUGUGCAUACAGUUGUUAAUGGCAAGGAUCUGUGCUGAGCAGAAUGUUUUCCCGUUCUUCACUGCUGCAGCCCUUGAUCCUGGGGCUUUCUGGGGUUCUGAUGUUAGCACAAAUGUCUACAGUUGUUCCCAAUUACGUGGGUUUACAUUUACUCACAUCUUUCUGAUCCUUCAGAAAAAUUCUAACAGCAAUUUAAAUGUUUAUGGUACAAUCAGUGUGCUUAAACUGUUGCCUUGCUGUUGUAUCUAGAUAUAACACGUACUGUAAGCAGCAGACUGUGCUAUUGGCAUUUUGUUUGAAUUGGUGUGAUAGUCUCUUGCAGUUCUGACAGUAAUGAGUGGCUCUGGGUUAUCUUCCCUAUGUGCAACGAAGUGCAACUGAGAGCCGUGUCCUUUCCAAAUCAAACCUGGGGGACUAAUGUGUAAUAAGAGCAUAAAAAUCAAAAGCAACUGCCAUAUCCUGGGAGCAGCACAAUCCACAUUCUCUUCAACCAAAAGGAUCCCUUCAGCUGCUAUAGGUCUGAUGAAAUGGGGCUUGGGACUUUUUAAGAUUGGAGCAGGGAAUCUGUGGUAGCUUGUUUGCUGCCGAUGGGCUGCUGUUGGUCCCCAGAGGAGCUGGUGGCUGGGCCCCAUUUAGAGAAGGUUGCACAGGGCAGUGCUUUGGCAGCUGCAGGAAGCCUUGCUAAAGGGAACGGCUACCAAGAGCUGUGCAGCUCCAGGGAUGUGACUUGUCAACAGGGGCUCCCUAGGUGCUAUGAGCGUUUGUGUGAGAAACCUGGCAGUAAAGGAAAGGGAUGGAAAGAGACUGGUGUCUUCUGUCUUCCAGCCCAAAUGGAAGCAGGGCCUCAGACUGCCAACAGAAUGUCCUGCUGCCAAAUGGAGCUCAGAGGAGAAUUAAAGCUAGGUCUUGGUGGUUUGUAAU